UUCUUCACUUCUGCUAUCACAUUCACAUACAUGUAACAGAAGCACAGAAGUGCUGCCUUCACUUGAAACCUGAAAUUCACCAACUUCAUCUUCACACUCUUAUCUUGCCCAACCUCAGUUGGAUAGUUCAGGCAAUUUAGUGAGUCGCUUCUAAUGGUAUUUUUAUUUGGAAACUGCAAUGAGAAUGGAAAUUUAAGGCUUGCAUAGGACUAAGAGAUAUUCUGUUGGCUUCUAGCUGACUAAUGCAUUUCCAAUUGUAAUAUUUCUGAUUGGGUAGGUCACCACUGAG
rnacentral:misc_RNA from 1 species